GGAAAUGGAGGGCCGCCUGCUACGCGGCCUGAUGGGAUAUGUAGUUUCCCCGCCGGCCGGGCGGGGCGCCGGGCCUGGCCUCGCAAUGCCUGCUGGGAGCCGAAAGCCGGCGGGCGCGGAGCCUGCUGGGAAGUUUAGUCUCCGGUGAGGAGCGCGGCCUUUCGGCGCAAGGCCUGCUGGGAGUCAUAGUGCUGCGGCCUUGCUCGGGGAGCGCGGCGGCCUCCCGGCCCGGCCCGGCCCGGCCCGGCCCGGCCGCUCGGGCCCAAUAAGCACUUUUGCGCCCUGCGGUGGGACCGAGGUUUCUGCACUCCGCGGCUUGGGCCGCAGCCGCAGCCCGACCUGACCUGCCGUCGCCCUGCGGCCCAGUCUAACGCCGGGUUAACUUGUUGACUCACAGCCAGCCGAGGCCCCAGAGGGAGAGAGGUCUAUGCAAAUAGCUGGUUACACCACAAAACAGAGACAUAAAAGCCACGUCUGACUAGAAUAUGGUUUUGUACCCCGCUUUUAUUAUGAGGAACUCGUUUAAGAGUAAAACUCCAUCUUUAUGACUUCUUGUUUGCUGAUCACGAUGUACGCAUGGCCUUCUGCGAGCGCUGGGCAGGCACCAUGGGCCCUCGUGGAGGCCUCCGCCAGCGUGGCAGGGUGGAGGGUGUGGAGGGCAGCGCGGCUGCCUGGGCACAGCACGUGCAGGAACCUUGUCUCCGCUGCCGAAAUAAGAUCAAGUCAACUGAGAGUGAGCCGAAGGACAGUCCUAUUCAUUAAAGCUGCUUCAGGAGAAUAGUAACUUUUAACAUACUUGUUGACAAGUGUUGCAAUACCGUCUUGAAAUGUUGCUUGCUUAUGCAGGGUAUUGAACAGGAAUCACAACUCCCUGGAUAUAAUGAAAACAGUGAAGCCAGGGAAGUGAUUUUAUAAUCAAGAUUGUCAGACAAUUUCAUUACACAUUUAGUUUUGUUAUCUAUCUAUCUAUCAGCUUGUUUUCAGCAUGAAUUUUGAAUGACUACUCCUGAGGGAUUUUUUUCUCAAAAGAGAUGAAAGUCAGUCCACUAUCUCUUUGCAAGUUACAGGACAUGAACAGAGUGCCUGGAUAUUAUGGCUCUCUCCCAAGACUUCCCUGACUCCUUGAGCCACCACUCUCCAGUGCAGACCUGCUGAAGCCUCAUGCCAUGAUCUCCGGACUCAAAUGACUGAAUCCCCUGUCAUGUCCACCUGUAGGCUAUCUGGAUGCAGCUUGGGGCUCCAUACAAGCCAGACAGGAGCAGGAGGCCAAGAUCUUUAAGGGCAGGUAGACCAUAGCUUCCCUUGAGACUGGGGGAGCAGAACCGUAAAUACAUCUAUUUGUUCAGGCUUUUCUCCGCAAAGGGAAGACUGAAGGGGGCUGCAACUCAUCUUUGCCUUGCUCAUUGUGGUGAGUACAGCCUGGACCACAAGUGCCUUGUCAGGGGACAGCCAAGACACUGCUUUGCUGCUCAGCCUCCUUCGUGACAGGCUGCUGUUCUGUUCAAUACAAACAGGCUCUUUCUACAGCAACUGCAGCAACAGUUGGGAAAGGAUUUCCUUAGCCCUGGAGAUACAGACAACCCAUAUACAUGGUCAAAUCCCGACCUCAGUGAAAUCAGGAGCAAUCUGUUAGCUUCAGCAGGGCAAUUCACACCCACAUACCUGCAGGCCUGACCCAGUCCAGAAGGUGUAACAGGAGCAUUAGUGAUGAUUCUUCCCGGUUUGAUUUCACUUGGCUCAGGGGGAAGAACUGAGCUUCAGCUGGGCAGCUUCUUAGGGACAAAAGCAACUUUCAGUAAACAUGGAGUUUUUCAUUUUUAAUGCUGUCUUGAGUCUAACUGAGUAAUGAGUAUGAUGGGCUCUGGUUUGCCUCUCUGAGUCAACAGCAUCUGAAGAGAUGACCUCUAAAUGAUGGACAACGCUUUCCCGUUCCUGGUCCUCUGCAGACACCUUGCCCAGGCACAAUCCACAGAAGGAAACCUCGUCAGUGCGGUAUGCCAGUACUUGCCAAUAUGAUACAUUACAGACAUCAACUCUAACCCAUGAGUCCCAGCCAAAAAAGCGGAGGUGUCUGAAUGGCAUAUGGAGGGUGGUGGGCAUAGUCAAUAACAGCAUAACUUAGUGAGGAUAACUUGCCAGGAAGCCUUAAGCAGGACAGGUUUCAUCCCUAUAUCUGCAGCUCUUUGCUACACCUUGCAAAUUCCUGAGAGCUAGUACCAAGACAUCUGCAGGAGCUGUUGAUCUCUGUAGCUCCAGGUAACUCCAUUGGAUCUGCAAGAAAU